GACGAACGCUGGCGGCGUGCUUAACACAUGCAAGUCGAACGGAAAGGCCCUGCUUUUGUGGGGUGCUCGAGUGGCGAACGGGUGAGUAACACGUGAGUAACCUGCCCUUGACUUUGGGAUAACUUCAGGAAACUGGGGCUAAUACCGGAUAGGAGCUCCUGCUGCAUGGUGGGGGUUGGAAAGUUUCGGCGGUUGGGGAUGGACUCGCGGCUUAUCAGCUUGUUGGUGGGGUAGUGGCUUACCAAGGCUUUGACGGGUAGCCGGACUGAGAGGGUGACCGGCCACAUUGGGACUGAGAUACGGCCCAGACUCCUACGGGAGGCAGCAGUGGGGAAUAUUGCACAAUGGGCGGAAGCCUGAUGCAGCAACGCCGCGUGCGGGAUGACGGCCUUCGGGUUGUAAACCGCUUCCGCCUGUGACGAAGCGUGAGUGACGGUAAUGGGUAAAGAAGCACCGGCUAACUACGUG
rnacentral:rRNA from 1 species